UACGUAGGGUGCAAGCGUUGUCCGGAAUUAUUGGGCGUAAAGAGCUCGUAGGCGGUUCGUCGCGUCGGCUGUGAAAACCCGAGGCUCAACCUCGGGCCUGCAGUCGAUACGGGCGGACUGGAGUUCGGCAGGGGAGACUGGAAUUCCUGGUGUAGCGGUGAAAUGCGCAGAUAUCAGGAGGAACACCGGUGGCGAAGGCGGUUCUCUGGGCAUUACCUGACGCUGAGGAGCGAAAGCGUGGGAGCAAACAGG
rnacentral:rRNA from 1 species